rnacentral:tRNA from 1 species
GCCCGGUUAGCUCAGACGGUAGAGCGCGGGACUAGUAAUCCACAGAUCAAGGGUUCAAGUCCCUUAUCGGGCA